AGGCGUAGUUCAAUGGUAGAACAUUACCUUGCCAAGGUAAAUACACGGGUUCGAUUCCCGCCGCUU
rnacentral:tRNA from 1 species